rnacentral:rRNA from 1 species
UACGUAGGGGGCAAGCGUUGUCCGGAUUUAUUGGGCGUAAAGAGCGUGUAGGCGGUUUGGUAGGUCCGCUGUGAAAACUCGAGGCUCAACCUCGAGACGCCGGUGGAAGCAUCACGAGCUAGAGUCCGGAAGAGGAGAGUGGAAUUCCUGGUGUAGCGGUGAAAUGCGCAGAUAUCAGGAAGAACACCCGUGGCUAAGGCGGCUCUCUAGUACGGUACUGACGCUGAGACGCGAAAGCGUGGGGAGCGAACAGG